rnacentral:rRNA from 1 species
UACGUAGGGUGCGAGCGUUGUCCGGAAUUAUUGGGCGUAAAGAGCUCGUAGGCGGUCUGUCGCGUCGGUCGUGAAAACUUGGGGCUUAACCCUGAGCUUGCGGUCGAUACGGGCAGGCUAGAGUUCGGUAGGGGAGACUGGAAUUCCUGGUGUAGCGGUGAAAUGCGCAGAUACCAGGAGGAAUACCGAUGGCGAAGGCAGGUCUCUGGGCUGAAACUGACGCUCAUGCACGAAAGCGUGGGGAGCAAACAGG